AGUGAACGCUGGCGGUAGGCCUAACACAUGCAAGUCGAACGGCAGCACAGUAAGAGCUUGCUCUUACGGGUGGCGAGUGGCGGACGGGUGAGGAAUACAUCGGAAUCUACUUUUUCGUGGGGGAUAACGUAGGGAAACUUACGCUAAUACCGCAUACGACCUACGGGUGAAAGCAGGGGAUCUUCGGACCUUGCGCGAUUGAAUGAGCCGAUGUCGGAUUAGCUAGUUGGCGGGGUAAAGGCCCACCAAGGCGACGAUCCGUAGCUGGUCUGAGAGGAUGAUCAGCCACACUGGAACUGAGACACGGUCCAGACUCCUACGGGAGGCAGCAGUGGGGAAUAUUGGACAAUGGGCGCAAGCCUGAUCCAGCCAUGACGCGUGGGUGAAGAAGGCCUUCGGGUUGUAAAGCCCUUUUGUUGGGAAAGAAAAGCAGCAGGUUAAUACCCCGCUGUUCUGACGGUACCCAAAGAAUAAGCACCGGCUAACUUCGUG
rnacentral:rRNA from 1 species